ensembl:lncRNA
GUGUGUGUGUGGUGUGUAUAGGAGUGUGUGUGUGUGUAUAGGAGUGUGUGUGUGAGUGUGUGUGUGUGUGUGUGUGUAUAGGAGUGUGUGUGUGAGUGUGUGUGUGUGUGUGUGUGUGUGAGUGUGUGUGUUCUCAGACUCCAGCUGUAGUGACGCUGGGAUGUUCUGACCCACUCACCUGGAUGUUGUGGUAGAGAAGAGAAGAUGCUGUGAAGUCCAGGGCCUGCCCGACAGCGCGGUGCUCGCGCGCUCCUCGUCUGCUGAGUAAAUCCGCACACUACACUCCCCGCCGCGCUUCCGGUCCUCUGAAUCCACACACACGUUCAUGGUUCAUGAUUUGCGUUUGUGUGCAGUCGGUUCAUCUGUAGUUCCUCAGCAGUGUGUGCACUGGACUGUUCCACUGACGGGCUUUAUAGCGUCGCUGUGUGUUACUAGAACCGGUCUGAUUCCGCCUCCGAAACCAGCACGAGCGCACCUGUCCUUUCCUCUGAUUGGUGGAGCGCCAGGAUCGGUCACGUGGUCUCCAGACAGGUAGGCCCGAUUUAGCUCGGCGCAGGAGCGGUGGUUGCCUUAGCAACGCGCUGCGAAUCUCUUUCCUUCUUUC